rnacentral:rRNA from 1 species
GGCGAGAGUUUGAUCAUGGCUCAGAUUGAACGCUGGCGGCAUGCCUUACACAUGCAAGUCGAACGGCAGCGCGGGAGCAAUCCUGGCGGCGAGUGGCGAACGGGUGAGUAAUACAUCGGAACGUGCCCAAUCGUGGGGGAUAACGCAGCGAAAGCUGUGCUAAUACCGCAUACGAUCCACGGAUGAAAGCAGGGGACCGCAAGGCCUUGCGCGAAUGGAGCGGCCGAUGGCAGAUUAGGUAGUUGGUGGGGUAAAGGCUCACCAAGCCGACGAUCUGUAGCUGGUCUGAGAGGACGACCAGCCACACUGGGACUGAGACACGGCCCAGACUCCUACGGGAGGCAGCAGUGGGGAAUUUUGGACAAUGGGCGCAAGCCUGAUCCAGCCAUGCCGCGUGCAGGAUGAAGGCCUUCGGGUUGUAAACUGCUUUUGUACGGAACGAAAAGUCUCCUUCUAAUAAAGGGGGAUCAUGACGGUACCGUAAGAAUAAGCACCGGCUAACUACGUGCCAGCAGCCGCGGUAAUACGUAGGGUGCAAGCGUUAAUCGGAAUUACUGGGCGUAAAGCGUGCGCAGGCGGUUAUGUAAGACAGUUGUGAAAUCCCCGGGCUC